CCCUUAGACGUUCUGGGCCGCACGCGCGCUACACUGACGUAGGCAACGAGCUUUCCUUCACCGAAAGGUGUGGGUAAUCUUUUGAAACUACGUCGUGCUGGGGAUAGAUCCUUGCAAUUUUUGAUCUUAAACGAGGAAUUCCUAGUAAGCGCGAGUCAUCAACUCGCGUUGAUUACGUCCCUGCCCUUUGUACACACCGCCCGUCGCUACUACCGAUUGAAUGCUUGUAUGAGGCCUUUGGAUUGGCACCCUGUGCUGAGAAAAUGAACAAAUACCAGCAUUUAGAGGAAGUAAAAGUCGUAACA
rnacentral:rRNA from 1 species